CACGCCCUAAACGAUGUAUACUCGUUGUUUGCAUCUUGAAUGUGAGCAACCAAGCGAAAGCGUUAAGUAUACCACCUGGGGAGUACGCCCGCAAGGGUGAAACUCAAAGGAAUUGACGGGGGCCCGCACAAGCGGUGGAGCAUGUGGUUUAAUUCGAUGCAACGCGAAGAACCUUACCUAGGCUUGACAUCCCGGGAAUUCCGUGGAAACACGGAAGUGCCUUUCGGGGAACCCGGAGACAGGUGC
rnacentral:rRNA from 1 species